rnacentral:tRNA from 1 species
UCCUUGGUGGUCCAGGGCCUAAGACUCUGCACUCCCAAUGCAGGGGCCCCGGGUUUGAUCCCUGGUUGGGCAA